rnacentral:misc_RNA from 1 species
AACGCACCUUGCGCUCCUUGGUAUUCCGAGGAGCAUGCCUGUUUGAGUGUCAUUAAAUUCUCAACCCCAUUACCUUUUACAAGUUAGUGAGGCUUGGAUGUGGAGGUUGCUGGCUUCUCUGAAACCGGCUCUUCUUAAAUGUAUUAGCAGAAUCUGUGCUGAUCAUCUUUGGUAUGAUAAUUAUCUAUACCAUUGAAGCUUGGUGUUGGAAAGAUUUCGCUUCUAAUCGUCUAUUUAAGACAACUAUGACAAUUUUGACCUCAAAUCAGGUAGGACUACCCGCUGAACUUAA